rnacentral:rRNA from 1 species
UGGGGAAUAUUGCACAAUGGGCGCAAGCCUGAUGCAGCCAUGCCGCGUGUGUGAAGAAGGCCUUCGGGUUGUAAAGUACUUUCAGUCGGGAGGAAGGUGGUAAGGUUAAUAACCUUAUCAAUUGACGUUACCGACAGAAGAAGCACCGGCUAACUCCGUGCCAGCAGCCGCGGUAAUACGGAGGGUGCAAGCGUUAAUCGGAAUUACUGGGCGUAAAGCGCACGCAGGCGGUUGAUUGAGUCAGAUGUGAAAUCCCCGGGCUUAACCCGGGAAUUGCAUCUGAUACUGGUCAGCUAGAGUCUUGUAGAGGGGGGUAGAAUUCCAUGUGUAGCGGUGAAAUGCGUAGAGAUCUGGAGGAAUACCGGUGGCGAAGGCGGCCCCCUGGACAAAGACUGACGCUCAGGUGCGAAAGCGUGGGGAGCAAACAGG